CAGCCGCCGCGGUAAUACGUAGGGUGCAAGCGUUAAUCGGAAUUACUGGGCAUAAAGCGUGCGCAGGCGGUUUGUUAAGACAGAUGUGAAAUCCCCGGGCUCAACCUGGGAACUGCAUUUGUGACUGGCAAGCUAGAGUGUGGCAGAGGGGGGUGGAACUCCGCGUGUAGCAGUGAAAUGCGUAGAUAUGCGGAGGAACACCGAUGGCGAAGGCAGCCCCCUGGGCCAACACUGACGCUCAUGCACGAAAGCGUGGGGAGCAAACAGGAUUAGAGACCCCCGUAGUCCCUGUCUCUUAUAC
rnacentral:rRNA from 1 species